rnacentral:rRNA from 1 species
GUACUGUGCGAACGUUAUUCGGAAUCACUGGGCUUAAAGGGUGCGUAGGCGGCUGAACAAGUCGGGGUGUGAAAUCUCUCGGGCCCAACCGAGGAACUGCGCUCGAAACUGUUCGGCUUGAGUGAGAUAGGGGUGUGCGGAACUUCCAGUGGAGCGGUGAAAUGUGUUGAUAUUGGAAGGAACGCCGGUGGCGAAAGCGGCACACUGGGUCUCAACUGACGCUCAUGCACGAAAGCCAGGGUAGCGAACGGGAUUAGAUACCCCGGUAGUCCUGGCCGUAAACGUUGAGCACUAGACGGGAGGGGCUUCGGCCCAUCCGGUCGCAGCGAAAGCACUAAGUGCUCCGCCUGGGGAGUAUGGUCGCAAGGCUG